UCUACUUCUUCUGAGCACUUCCACCUGUUGUUAGUGUUUUAUCAAUCUUCUCUUACAAGGAGGCAAAGGUUCCUUUGUGUUCUGUUCUGCACUCCCUGCUUCUGAUGGCCCUACUUGUCCUGAAGCUUUGACCAGACCUGCCUCAGGUAUCUCCUGUUGGUUGACAGCUGGGCUCUGCCCUUCAGGUACUCCUGCAGCUGCUGGUGGACUACCAGCUUCCCCUUUCUCUUUGCUAUCUGAAGAGAACGGGGGCAUGAGGAUGGGGGCAUGACACAGAUGGAAACAAAACAGCUGGUCAACAAGGUCAAAUGACAGUACGGGAGAUAGCACAUGCCAAUGCCAGUUGAAUUGUCUCUGGAGUACCCAGUGGAGGAGACUACACACCAGGAGAAGGGGGAGCCCCAACUCUUCCUGGCAACAAGUCAGACCCUGCUGACUCACCUCGUGUCAGGUCUGGUCGAGCACCCCAUGGCAGGGGCCAGAAGGUCACCAAUGCAGAGCAAGCAGUCCACUUGAGGGACAAGAAGAAGGCUGAUAGAGAGCAGUUAGCCAGAGACAUGGUGGAUCAGACCCAAGCUGCCAGCUAAAGGUCCAUUAAAACCCAGCUAGAGCUAGAUAAACAUGAGGAGUGGAGAAGGGAAGCAGACUGGCAGUCCCACAUGCUGGUAACCCAGGAGGUUGCACAGGCACAGGUUGUGUGGCAGGCAAUGGCACGGGCCAAUGAGAUCACCUCCGCCAUACGUGAGUGCUCUGGUGAGGCACUGUUGCAUAAUGGAACUCCACACAGAUCAGGUCCAGAAACUGUUUCAAAUGGUCUCUGACUACAUUGCCCAGGCAGCCCAACCAGCCCCUCCACCCACACAGCACCCACUCUACCCCUUCCUGUACCUAACUCAUGGCACCAGCAACUCCCACAGUGCAGGGGAGGGUGACACCCAUAAUGCUGGCAGCCCCCAUUGCUGGUGCCAGAGGCAGGGGGCCAUGAGACAUGGGUGCUGGUUGAGGGCAACUUCAGGACAUGGAGCCUGCCAGUCCAGCAAAACAAACAAGAUCCCAUGUGUGUUAGGCACACACCUGGUAGCUGACCCACACAGAGAUCUAGCGUCAGCCUGGCUAUGCUCUUGCCACAGGGUACUGUAGUGCUCCUGUGCUAUUUAUAUGAUGGCAGCAAAGGUGUGGUUGCAGUACCUGUCUUCAUUUUUCCUUGUUGGCUGUGGUGAGCUGCUCUGUGCAAUACCUGUGUGUUUCCAUUAAUAAAAGCACCAUUGUGGAGCAAAGUGGUCUUGCCCCUCUA